UACGAAGGGGGCUAGCGUUGCUCGGAAUCACUGGGCGUAAAGCGCACGUAGGCGGAUUGCUAAGUCAGUGGUGAAAGCCUACAGCUUAACUGUAGAAUUGCCAUUGAUACUGAUGAUCUUGAGUAUGAUUGAGGUAGGCGGAAUGUGUCAUGUAGCGGUGAAAUGCUUAGAUAUGACACAGAACACCGAUUGCGAAGGCAGCUUACUAAGUCAAAACUGACGCUGAUGCACGAAAGCGUGGGGAGCAAACAGG
rnacentral:rRNA from 1 species